CGGAUCUUUCGCUCGGUUAGCGGACGUCGCGACCCGUUGGGCGCCGGCCGAAUGGCCCGGGUGACGUUCGUCGCGUCGGUCGCGUUUCGGCGUGACCGUUCGCGCCGAGCCCCGGUGCUCAUGGUCGGCUCGCCCGACGGCAAGAACCGUCGACGCGGCCCCGUCGCAGGCGGGGUCCCGUCGGUCGGCGACGUGUUUCGAGCUACUUUCCGACCCGUCUUGAAACACGGACCAAGGAGUCUAACGUGUGCGCGAGUCAACGGUGAUCUUACGAAAAACCACGUUUGGCGCAAUGAAAGUGAACCGUUUACGGUGCGGACGAUGGCCUAGCGACCGAACCCACCGGCGUUCAAAGUCGCGCUGGUCCGCAGUCCGGGGGCGUCUCCGCCAAGUCGGCUUCGGCCGGCUGGGGGCGCACCCUUAUCGCACACGUUUGGUACCCGAAAGAUGGUGAACUAUGCCUGGCCAGGAUGAAGUCAGGGGAAACCCUGAUGGAGGUCCGCAGCGAUUCUGACGUGCUAAUCGAUCGUCUGAGCUGUGUAUAGGGGCGAAAGACUAAUCGAACCAUCUAGUAGCUGGUUCCAUCCGAAGUUUCCCUCAGGAUAGCUGGCGCCGAUGUGUCCCGCCCGUUCGCGGGCGUACUGACGCCGGUGGGACUUCCGCGCUGUACUGCGCGGGUACAACACGUCCGUAACACGGAGGAUGUCUCAUACGUGAAAGCGAAUGAUUUAGAGGACAUUUGGGGCCGA
rnacentral:ncRNA from 1 species